rnacentral:rRNA from 1 species
AUACGGAGGGUGCGAGCGUUACUCGGAGUCACUGGGCGUAAAGCGUCCGUAGGCGGUCGGGUAAGUCGGGUGUGAAAGCCCCGGGCUCAACCUGGGAAGUGCACCCGAUACUGCUCGACUCGAGUGCGGGAGAGGAUGGCGGAAUUCCCGGUGUAGCGGUGAAAUGCGUAGAGAUCGGGAGGAACACCAGUGGCGAAGGCGGCCAUCUGGCCCGCAACUGACGCUGAGGGACGAAAGCGUGGGGAGCAAACAGAAUUAGAAACCCUUGUAGUCC